GCUGUCUCGAUUGACUGGCGGUGCAGCCAAUCCGAUAAGCAAGUAACCAUAACAUCGAUUGCUGUGACCUGCCUCUGUGUUCAUGGGAGGUGGUGAAAAUGAAUCUGUUCAGACUAGCAGAAGUGCAGUCAAGUCAAAGAGCUCCGCAAAAAAGACAAAUUGGAGAACUUUUUGGGAGAUUCUAAAGUUGCACUGUUCAUGGUCCCUGAUCUGCAUUUUUUGUCGUUUUUGCUGAGAAUAGAAUAUAUGGUUUUUCGUAUUGAAAAUUCACACACAGGUUUUCAAAAUGACACGUCCUUUGCUCGUUUCUUGUGUGUGAAUGGCGUCAGUCACUACCUCCGUAUCAGUCACGAACUAGCCAGAGACUGCAAAAUCAGAGAGCUCACCGCAGCUCAGCUCAGUCUCACAGGUAGCUGCACCUACGGCGACGGAAGAGAUCACCCGGCGCUGUGUCGCUCCACCGCCAUGGCGUCCAGGUGUGACCAUUGUGAAGCAAAAGAACAGAGCACACCAGCUCUAGGAGCGACCGUAACACAUAAACCCGAACUUCUGGAACACAAAUUCCAGAUAUAGCCAAAAUGAGCUGCAGUGUAGCAUCGACUCAGUGUAAACAGUGUAGGAUGGGCCAAAUAACUGGACGAAGGGAACACCUGCGAACAUGGUUGUACGAGCAAGAAGGCGAUCCACAGGAGCAUCUGCUGAUGUGCUUCGCAAUGGCACAAUGUAUAGAUCUUGGUUCAAAGAGAAAGAUGGGGUAACAAAGCUUCAAGGUGCAUAUAUAUGUACAUAUGAAUGACUGUGUGAUGGAUUUUCACAAGAACCAGCAUGUAGUAUAUACUUUGAUGAGUUUGUGGUUGCCUACAAACUGACUGACUAGUUGUGAUGUGUGAAUGAAUCACUCCUCGAGUAUAGUACAGUAUGAAGCAUGAACAUUUCUCCUUCA